rnacentral:rRNA from 1 species
UACGUAGGGUGCAAGCGUUAAUCGGAAUUACUGGGCGUAAAGCGUGCGCAGGCGGUUAUGUAAGACAGGUGUGAAAUCCCCGGGCUUAACCUGGGAACUGCAUUUGUGACUGCAUAGCUAGAGUACAGUAGAGGGGGAUGGAAUUCCGCGUGUAGCAGUGAAAUGCGUAGAUAUGCGGAGGAACACCGAUGGCGAAGGCAAUCCCCUGGACCUGUACUGACGCUCAUGCACGAAAGCGUGGGGAGCAAACAGGAUUAG